rnacentral:rRNA from 1 species
UACGAAGGUGGCAAGCGUUGUUCGGAUUUACUGGGCGUACAGGGAGCGUAGGCGGUUGGGUAGGCCCUCCGUGAAAUCUCCGGGCCUAACCCGGAAAGUGCGGAGGGGACUGCUCGGCUAGAGGAUGGGAGAGGAGCGCGGAAUUCCCGGUGUAGCGGUGAAAUGCGUAGAGAUCGGGAGGAAGGCCGGUGGCGAAGGCGGCGCUCUGGAACAUUUCUGACGCUGAGGCUCGAAAGCGUGGGGAGCAAACAGG